CACGUAGGGCGCAAGCGUUGUCCGGAAUUAUUGGGCGUAAAGAGCUCGUAGGCGGUCUGUUGCGUCCGCUGUGAAAACUCGGGGCUUAACCCCGAGCCUGCAGUGGAUACGGGCAGACUAGAGGUAGGUAGGGGAGAAUGGAAUUCCCGGUGUAGCGGUGAAAUGCGCAGAUAUCGGGAGGAACACCGGUGGCGAAGGCGGUUCUCUGGGCCUUACCUGACGCUGAGGCGCGAAAGCUAGGGGAGCAAACAGG
rnacentral:rRNA from 1 species